CGAGUGGCGGACGGGUGAGUAAUGUCGGGGAAACUGCCCGAUGGAGGGGGAUAACUACUGGAAACGGUAGCUAAUACCGCAUAACGUCGCAAGACCAAAGAGGGGGACCUUCGGGCCUCUUGCCAUCGGAUGUGCCCAGAUGGGAUUAGCUAGUAGGUGGGGUAACGGCUCACCUAGGCGACGAUCCCUAGCUGGUCUGAGAGGAUGACCAGCCACACUGGAACUGAGACACGGUCCAG
rnacentral:rRNA from 1 species